UUACAAAAGGAAAACAAAGGGAGAAGAAGAAGUCUCACCAACUGGCAGAGUGUCACAAAGCCCCCUGGCCCCAGACUGUGACCCCUU
rfam:Pteropus alecto contig55376, whole genome shotgun sequence.